rnacentral:lncRNA from 1 species
UUGUUAGAUUUCAUGAUGUGGAAGGCACUUACAGGCAGAAUUCACGAAGCAAAGGGAAUGCCAACAACCACACUCCACUUUGCAAGUCAUCAACAAUCUGGAAAGAGACUAAGACAUGCUGUCAACCUAAGCAGAGGAUCUCAGAGAGGCGCAGAGAUGGAGCGAAACAGAAAGACUUUGGGUGUAUCUCCACACUCUUCCCUUCUCCAAAGCACUGAUUGCUGCCAGCCCAAGGAUCUAACUGAAUUAUGGGCUGACAUUAAAGAUAGAAGUCUGGGAGAUGGUUAGUAAUGCAGGAUUUGAAGACGCAUGCUAUAGCACAGUAAAUGCACAGAAAAAAGUUCUAAGGUAAACUCCGGAUCCUGAAGUAAAGGGGCAGGACUAACUGAGCAUAACUGUCAUGAACUAGGAAGACAUGAAGAGUAACACUUCCUUUUACUGACUUACCUAGUGGUGGUUUCAUCACUCUAGCAGCUUGUCUACAGUUUCCCAAGGGGAAACAAAACAAGAGUAAACACAAAUUUGGGGCUGAUCAUGCCACCUGCAGCUGUACGCUUAGCAAACUAGCUUUCCCAGGUGAGAGAGCUAGUAAAAUACACACAAUAUUUUUUCCUUACCCAUUCUUCCCACAAAGAUUUGUGUAUUGAUGGUAUCAUGGGCAUAGUGUGGGGUUGGCCGAGUAUUAUUGGAUGGGUUGCUGCUACUUUUUAGCAGUAGGUUCAAAGUUCACAAUCCCAGUGUGGCAUAAUUAUAAAUGUUUUAAGGAUGAUACUUUACUUUUCCAAAAGUACCUUUAUUCUAAGAAUCUCAGAGCGCUUUUCAGCAUGAAUUACCAACCCAUCUCUUGGUGAUAAGUAAGUGUUAUUUUUGAAACUGAGAAACUUAAACUGCUGCCUGAAGUAACUGUGAACCAUCUACUUCAUGGAGUUCUGUUUUUCCUUUACUCUUUUUCCUUGCCCUUUCUCAUUUUCCUCCAGAGACAAUUUUCACCUCAACUUCUCCCCCUCUCUGUCUGUAGCAAUCCCCUCUAUGCAACCUGAUACUGUACCCAAAUUUUAAAACUGCUCUCCCCUUCCUCCUUGGAUGCGUGCGCUGCGCAUAAGUGCUCUCCAGAUUCGGGUAAUAACAUACAUUAGUGCAUUUCAAAGAGCUGCAUUUAUGUAGAUAGGUUUGAAUUGUUAUUUCCAUUUUAUAUGUGCAUGUGUGGGUGGGCAGGAUUAGGCUGCAGAUAGGUUAACGAACACAGGUGUCUCAGGUGCCUCUGAUGUGGGGUAUUGAACUGGAGAGAUACAGUUCUGCAGAGAUGCUAAGCACUGACUGCUCCCACUACUGGGGAAGCACAGACCACUUUGGUGAAUCUGAGCUUACGCUGCCUGUUGCUGAGCAGGAUACCAGUCCGUAUACUGGCUGGCAUCUGGUGUCAGUCUAACCAAACAAGUAUUUUUCUCCAGAAGGGUGUUUUGUUCAAGAUAAAGGUAGCUGGUUUCACUCCUGGUAUUCACUGUGUGUAUCUCUGAAUCAAACUGCUGUUACAGCGGGCUGAGUAUCUAUUUCUAAACAUUAACCUUUUUAUUGUUUUACGUGAAAUAAAAAGUCGGUAAUCUUUUUGCA